GCCUGAUGAGACUCCCAUGCGGAGGGUCCGGUCCCCAGAGGUCAGCGUCCAGCCAGACCCCGGAGACCGGCCGACAGGCAUGUCAUCCCAGCUGCACUGUGGGGGCCCAGGGGGUUGACCACCUAUGAGGAUUAAGGCCAUUCCCCAUCCCUCAUCUUGCCAAGCCAUCACCAGGCGGGGGUCGAGGACCCAGCAGGGCUCCCCAGUGGUUCCCGGCUAGAGGACGCCACCUUCAGAUGACAGCAUCCUUAAGGCAGGUGCACCUGCGGCCUGACCCUCUGAACUCUCCGAUGCAAACCCCAGUGCCCAUCAAACUGACACAGCCACGCCCAGUGCUUUCCGGCUUCCUCCCGCGAGCAGACUGACGCUCCUCGGAACACGCCCAGGGGACUCCCCACCGUCCUUGUUGGCAGCUUACCCCCCAGUCCUUUUAUCCGUCUGUGGCGGGGACAGGAGCAAAGAAGACUCCUAGGAAAUACAGAUCGGAGACCCUGCACACGGCAUCAGCGAGAUCUGGAACACUCGAGAAACCAAGCUAGUGUUAGCUCUGCGUGAACGCUCAGCCAGGCAGCGGGCACGGUCCACGCGGGGUCACGCGGGGGACCCGCCCCGCCCCGCCCCGGGCGCCAGCCGCAGAGGACUUGGGGCUGUUUGUUGGGGUUGUCGCCCUUCUGCUUGGUUUAACCGUCGAGGGGCACCCGAGGGAAGACCCAGGUGUCAUGCACGGCGCCUCCGUCUUCCUCGUCCCCACAUCGCUUCGGCCCACCCUCCGCGUGGGGAGAAGCCGUAAAGACACAGCGCUGAGACAUUAUGGCUCUUCCAGAAAAUAAAAUAUUUUUGAAACCGCACAGCACGGGUGCCAUUCUUUGUCUCAUGGGGGGAACAGAAGCUGGACACAUGGGCUCCCAGCCAGGUAGCCCUGGGAAGGUGUGCAGAGACG
rnacentral:lncRNA from 1 species